rnacentral:rRNA from 1 species
UCAUGGAGAGUUUGAUCCUGGCUCAGGACGAACGCUGGCGGCGUGCCUAAUACAUGCAAGUCGAGCGGGGACGCUUUCGGGCGUUUCAGCGGC